GGCACACUUCGCUGCUGGCUAUGAAGACGGGGGAAGGCGCACGGGGUGCAGGCACCCCAGGAGCUGGAGAACGCCAGCCCAGGGAGGAAGGUGCCCGCCCCCAGCUUCUGAAACCCAGUGCGCCCCAGGCUAAGAUCACAUCAUUCAUUUAUCUAACAAGCACUGGAGAGGCCCUGAGCCUCAGGCCCGUGCUCCUCUGGGCAACCCUGACAUCUCGACCGGGCACCAUGGGGUCUCACCCUCCACUUUCUCCUCCUGCCCCUCUUCCCCAUGCCUUCCCCAGUAGAGUGGCUCCACCACCGGCAGCAGCUCAAGCUGGGUCCUCUCCUCCCAGACACCCAGCCCCAGCCUGGGACACGUCCGGUGCCCAUGCAGUUGGGCCUCUGCUCAGCCUCCACCCGCCCCGCCCUGGCUGGCCGCUCCCUCUCCUUUCUGCACGACCACAGCUCUAGUGUGAG
rnacentral:lncRNA from 1 species